rnacentral:lncRNA from 1 species
AAAAAAAAAAAAAAAAAAAAUCUGACUGCUCAAAGUACUUCAUACAAAUGGAAUCAUACAGUAUGCAUCUUUCUGUGCCUGGCUUAUUUUACAUAGCCUAAUAUCCUUAAGUUUCAGCCGUGGUGUAGCAUGUGACAGGAUUUCCUUCCUUUUCAAGGCCGACUAAUAUUCCGCUGCAUCUUGCUGGGCACAGUGGCUCAUGCCUGAAAUCCAAGCACUUCGGGAGCUUGAGGUGGGUGAAUCACUUGAGGUCAGGAGUUUGAGACCAGCCUGGCCAACAUGGUGAAACCCCAUCUCUACUAAAAAUACAAAAUUAGCCAGGUGUGGUGGCGCAUGUCUGUAAUCCCAGCUAUUUAGGAAGGUGAGGCAGGAGAAUGGUUUAAACCCAGGAGAUGGAGGCUGCAGUGAGCUGAGAUGGCGCCAUUGCACUCCAGGCUGGAAAACAAGGGCAAAACUACAUCUCUAAAAAAAAAUAAUAAAAAAAUUCCACUGUAUCUAUAUGCCACAUUUUGUUUAUCCAUACAUUCAUCAGUGGACACUUGGGUUACUUCCACCUUUUGGUUAGUAUAAAUAAUAUUGCUAUGAACACAAGUAGAUUGUUUACCUGCUUUUGAGCUUUUCAUAUAAAUGAAAUGAAUUCUACCAUGUGUAUUAUUUUAUGUUUGGUUUCUUUCCUUCAACAUUGUGAAAUUCAUCCGUCUUAUCGCAUGUAGCAAUAGUUUACUUUUCUCAUUGAUAUAUAGUAGUUCAUUGUAUAAUCACAUCCCAGUCUGUUUAUUCCGUCUACCAGUGAUGGACAUUUAGGUUGUUUCCAGGUUGUAUCUGUUAUGAAUAGUGCUGCUAUAAACAUUCUUGUUGGUGUCUUUUAUUAUACGCAUGUAUGCAUUUCUGGAUGUAAACACCUAGGAGUUAAAUUGCUGGGUCAUAGAUUAUGUUUGUUUAGUUUUACUAGACACUGCCAAAUAGUUUUCCAAGAUGACUAUACCAAUUUACCUCCUCCGGAACACUGAAUGAGCAUUCCAGUUGUUUGGUAUCCUCAAUAACACUUGAUGUCAUCGGUUAUUUUAAUUUUAGUCAUUCUCAUUGAUGUAAAGUGGUAUCUCAUUGUGGUUUUAAUUUGUAUUUCCCUAAUGACUAAUGAGGUUGAAAGACUUUUUAUGUUUAUCAGUCAAUUGGAUGUGAAGCGCUUGUUCAUGUUUUCUGUGAAGUGCUUGUUCAUGUUUCUUGCCCUUAAUUUAGUUGUCUGUUUUUUUCCUUAUUGAUUUGUAGUAUUGUGGUGUAUGUAUGUAUUUUUCCAAGGGUGAUUCUCCAGAUGGCAUGGGCUUGCUCCAGAACCCCAGUGACCCUGCUAGGACUUGCCACAAAUUACACACAGUGUCUUCUCCCAUCUCCCACACAAAUGUGUGGGUGUGUAUGUGUAUGUAUUUUUUGUUUUGUUUUGUUUUGUUUUUAAGAUAGAAUCUCAUCCAGUUGCUUAGGCUAGAGUGCGGUGGUGCAAUCAUAGCUCACGGCAACCUUGACCUCCUGGGCUCAAGUGAUUCUCCCACAUCAGCCUCACGAGUAGCUGGAACUACAGGUGCCCGCCACCACACCCAGCUCUCUCUUCCCCUGCUGCAGCAAUUGUGAAAGCCACGCAUUUAGAUGGUGAAGCCACAAAAUGGAAACAGCCUGGAUCCCUGAGUCACCAGAUGCAGAAACAGCUGCCCUGAAAAGUUGUCCAUCUUGCACUAUACAUGCCCAUGUACGAGAAAUACAAGCCUUUUCUGGCCGGGCGCGGUGGCUCACGCCUGUAAUCCCAGCACUUUGGGAAGCCGAGGCGGGCAGAUCAUUUGAGGUCAGGAGUUCGAGAUCAGCCUGGCCAACAUGGUGAAACCCCGUCUCUACAAAAAAUAUAAAAAUUAGCCAGGCAUGGUGGCAGGCGCUUGUAAUCCCAGCUACUCAGGUGGCUGAGGUAGGAGAAUCGCUUGAACCUGGGAGGCAGUGGUUGCAGUGAGCCGAGAUUACACCAUUGCACUCCAGCCUGGGUGAUAAGAGCAAAACUCUGUCUCAAAAAAAAAAAAAAGGCCUUUUCUGUGGUUAAGAAAUGAGAAUCAAGUUUAAGAUAUUUGAGAUUUUUCUUUUUAUUAUUUUUUUCCUUAGAGGUAAUUGUGGGGUGGAGGUGGGGGUCUUGCUAUCUUGCCCAGGCUGGACUCAAACUCCUGGGUUCAAGCAAUCCUCCAGUCUCAGCCUCCCAAGUAGCUGGGACUAUAGGUACACACUACCACACCAGUUUCUUUGAGAUUUUUGUACAUCGGGAUAUAUAGCUCAUUCUUUUUAAGAUUUGCCAAGUGUUCCAUUGUAUGACUAUAAUAUAUUUAGGAGGUACAUUUCUUUAAUUUAAAUUUUUGAAUUGAUAUUAUAUACCAUAUGGUUUUAAAUUAAAAUGGUUCAAAAAAGU